rnacentral:rRNA from 1 species
UACAGAGGUCUCAAGCGUUGUUCGGAUUCAUUGGGCGUAAAGGGCGCGUAGGCGGCGGGGUCAGUCGGGUGUGAAAUCUUGGGGCUUAACCCCGAAACGGCACUCGAAACUGCCCGGCUGGAGGGCCGGAGAGGAGAUCGGAAUUCACGGUGUAGCAGUGAAAUGCGUAGAGAUCGUGAGGAAGACCCGUGGCGAAGGCGGAUCUCUGGACGGCUAACUGACGCUGAGGCGCGAAGGCCAGGGGAGC